GAUGACUCCGGGGCAGCGGCCGGGGUAAGACUGGGGUGGCCAGGGGUGUUCGGAAGUACCUGGCGGAAAGGGCGCGUAGGCGGUUUGCUAAGUCGAAUGUGAAAACUCUGGGCUUAACCCAGAGCCUGCAUUCAAUACUGGCAGGCUAGAGUGCUGGAGGGGAUAGCGGAAUUCCUGGUGUAGCGGUGAAAUGCGUAGAUAUCAGGAGGAACACCGGUGGCGAAGGCGGCUAUCUGGACAGAGUCUGACGCUGAGGCGCGAAAGCUAGGGGAGCAAACAGGAUUAGAUACCCGAGUAGUC
rnacentral:rRNA from 1 species